AAAAAAAAAAAAAAGGGUAAGAAAAGAAAUAAAGAUAAACACAAUAGUAAUGUUCAUUCAUUUGACCAACAAGAGAAGGAAAAUUAACAUUCAUAAAUUCCUAUCCUUUAUCAUUUACAGCCAUCUCUCUCUUAUAAGGCAUGAGCAACCCGAUGUAGAGCCUCUCACUCAAUAUUCUCUCGAAGUGUGGAGAUCACUCUAGCCUCUCAAGUCUCAGAAGAUAAAACUUCCUUAAAAUCACUUUGCAGACUCAUCCCACACUCCAAAGUAAGGUAGUUGAAACCAUUGUUGAACCUUUUCUAACCUUAGUUUGCUUGGUUUUACUAAUAUUUAUAUCUUUUCAGCAUUUUUC
rnacentral:misc_RNA from 1 species